GCCUUCGUGGUGUAGUGGUCAGCACACUGAGCCGGUAUUUCAGAGGUCCGCGGUUCGAUCCCCGGCGAAGGCG
rnacentral:tRNA from 1 species